GAUUAAUACCGCAUAAGAUUGUAGUAUCGCAUGAUAUAGCAAUUAAAGGAGCAAUUCGCUAUAAGAUGGACCCGCGUCGCAUUAGCUAGUUGGUGAGGUAAUGGCUCACCAAGGCGACGAUGCGUAGCCGACCUGAGAGGGUGAUCGGCCACAUUGGGACUGAGACACGGCCCAGACUCCUACGGGGAGGCAGCAUG
rnacentral:rRNA from 1 species